AUACAGAAGGACCAGGCUGUGUAUCUGGUCAAAGAAGGUGUUCGUGGUACCUCUGACCAGAAGAGAAACAGGUCAGGUGGCCUACAGUGGAAGGCAAGCAUGAGAGAACGAGAGGUACUGUGACCACAGCUAACUGAAGCAGUGACUAACUGGCCAUCCUGGGAUUGGGCCAGGCCAGAGCUGGAUCCUGACAGAGAGUGAAUAAAAUGGUGUUUCUUGCCUCCCA
rnacentral:lncRNA from 1 species